CGGGUUGCAGCAGUGGGGAAUUUUGGACAAUGGGCGCAAGCCUGAUCCAGCAAUGCCGCGUGCAGGAUGAAGGCCUUCGGGUUGUAAACUGCUUUUGUACGGAGCGAAACGGCUCUCUCUAAUAAAGGGGGCUAAUGACGGUACCGUAAGAAUAAGCACCGGCUAACUACGUGCCAGCAGCCGCGGUAAUACGUAGGGUGCAAGCGUUAAUCGGAAUUACUGGGCGUAAAGCGUGCGCAGGCGGUUAUAUAAGACAAAUGUGAAAUCCCCGGGCUCAACCUGGGACCUGCAUAUGUGACUGUAUAGCUAGAGUACGGUAGAGGGGGAUGGAAUUCCGCGUGUAGCAGUGAAAUGCGUAGAUAUGCGGAGGAACACCGAUGGCGAAGGCAAUCCCCUGGACCUGUACUGACGCUCAUGCACGAAAGCGUGGGGAGCAAACAGGAUUAGAUACCCUGGU
rnacentral:rRNA from 1 species